rnacentral:rRNA from 1 species
GACAGAGGGGGCAAGCGUUGCUCGGAAUUACUGGGCGUAAAGGGCGCGUAGGCGGGAUGGCAAGUCGGUCGUGAAAUCCCUCGGCUCAACUGAGGAUCGUCGAUCGAUACUGCCGUUCUUGAGGAUUGCAGAGGAGACUGGAAUUCCCAGUGUAGCGGUGAAAUGUGUAGAGAUCGGGAGGAACACCGGUGGCGAAGGCGGGUCUCUGGGCAAUUCCUGACGCUGAGGCGCGAAAGCGUGGGGAGCAAACGGG